GACGUAGGUGGCGAACGUUAUCCGGAAUUAUUGGGCGUAAAGGAUGCGUAGAUGGUGUAGUAAGUUAUCGGUGGCAAAUCGAGGCUCAACCUCGUGGAAGUCGGUAAUACUGCUAUGCUAGAGGAUAGGAGAGGUUAACGGAACUCCCUGUGGAGCGGUGAAAUGCGUAGAUAUAGGGAAGAACACCAAUAAGGCGAAGGCAGUUAACCAUUCUACUCCUGACAUUGAGGCAUGAAAGCGUGGGGAGCAAAACGG
rnacentral:rRNA from 1 species